rnacentral:sRNA from 1 species
GCGGCCGCCGAGGAGGUUCGAAAACAUGGCCAAAAGAAAUGCCGAGAAGGAACUGACAGAUAGGAAUUGGGAUCAAGAAGAUGAAGCUGAAGAGGGUAAAAGAAGGGUUAUAAACUAAAGCCGAAGAUAUUCAGCAGAUUUCUGACGUGGACAUCAGAAGUGUGGACAUGAGUGUGCUUUGAGCGCACUGUGGAAGAGCAGUGGUUGUCCAGCAAGGUCCUAGGUGCCUCCGUGGCCUUUCGUACAGUGGGCAAGUUGGGCAGGACUCAUCUUAAAAAUCAUGUGUGGGAACAUUCUCCAUGGCCAGUGAGGAAGUCUUGAAGAAUAGAGCCAUAAAGAAAGCAAAGCGCAGAAAUGUUGGAUUCGAAGUGAGUGCCCCCUUACAGCUCUUGCUAUUAAAUACUCAUUUGAUUUCUGGGUUGCACAGCAAU